rnacentral:lncRNA from 1 species
GGAGCAUAUCAUGAAGAAUCGACACUAGAUGAAGAACAUGUCAAUUUUCAAGAAAAACAAGACGAUGCAGAUUUUCUAGAAUUAUGAAAAAUCGACACCAAAGGUACAACAUUUUGAUUCCACAAGCACAAUAGACAAAAGUCUAGUUGGCAUGAAACAAAUAGAAAAGUUUUAAAUUUCAUUCCAAUAGGCAGAAAAAGUUCGAACUUAUAUUACCUAGCCAAAGGACAUCGGAAGAAAGAAAAGGAAAAGAU